AAGUCGUAACAAGGUUUCCGUAGGUGAACCUGCGGAAGGAUCAUUAAAGAAUCGCCCCGUUUUUUGAAAUGGGUUCUAUUCCCAAACCGUGUUUACAUACCUUUGUUGCUUUGGCGGGCCGCCUUGAGGCGUUGGCUCCGGCUGACUGCGCCCGCCAGAGAACCCAAACUCGUUUGUUUAGUGAUGUCUGAGUACUAUAAAAUUUUUAAAA
rnacentral:misc_RNA from 1 species